GACGAACGCUGGCGGCGUGCUUAACACAUGCAAGUCGAGCGGGGACAUGGAGGAGCUUGCUCUGAGAUGUUCUAGCGGCGGACGGGUGAGUAACGCGUGAGCAACCUUUCUCUCAGUGGGGAAUAACACAGGGAAACUUGUACUAAUACCGCAUGGGACCACGACCUGGCAUCUGGUUGGGGUGAAAGAUUUAUCGCUGAGAGGUGGGCUCGCGUCCGAUUAGGUAGUUGGUGAGGUAACGGCCCACCAAGCCGACGAUCGGUAGCCGACCUGAGAGGGUGAUCGGCCACAUUGGGACUGAGACACGGCCCAA
rnacentral:rRNA from 1 species